GAUGAACGCUGGCGGCGUGCCUAAUACAUGCAAGUCGAGCGAACAGACGAUGAUCUUGCUCCUCUGACGUUAGCCGCGGACGGGUGAGUAACACGUGUAUAACCUACCUAUCAGACUGGGAUAACUUCGGGAAACCGGCGCUAAUACCGGAUAAUAUAUUGAACCGCAUGGUUCAAUAGUAAAAUACGGUGUUUCUGUCACUUAUAGAUGGAUCCGCGCCGCAUUAGCUAGUUGUUAAGGUAACGGCUUACCAAGGCGACUAUGCGUAGACGACCUGAGAGACUGAUCGGCGACCUGGGAACGGGGACAGGCACAAGGCUACUGCGGGAGGCCGCAGUAGGCUACGGUACGCAACGGGCGAAAGCCUGACGGAGCAACGCCGCGUGAGUGAUGAAGGUCUUCGGAUCGGAAAACUCUGUUAUUAGGUAAGAACAAAUGUGUAAGUAACUAUGCACGGCGUGACGGUACCUAAUCAGAAAGCCACGGCUAACUACGUG
rnacentral:rRNA from 1 species